UGGCUCAGUGGUAGAGUGCUUGCCUUGCAUGCAUGAGGCCCUGGGUUCAUUUCCUAG
rnacentral:tRNA from 1 species